GACGAACGCUGGCGGCGUGCUUAACACAUGCAAGUCGAACGGAAGGGCGCUACGUUUGUUUCGUUCUCGAUUGGCGAACGGGUGAGUAACACGUGAGUAACCUGCCCUUAACUUUGUGAUAACUUCAGGGAACUGGGGCGAAUACCGCGGAUAAUCUCCUGCUGCAUGUGGUGGGUUGGAAAGUUUCGGCGGUUGUGGAUGGACUCGCUGCUUAUCAGCUGGUUUGUCGGGUAGUUGCUUACCAAGGCUUUGACGGGUAGCCGGCCUGAGAGCGUGAACGGGGACCAUGCGCCUGCGAGACGCACCAGUAUGGUAUGGGCGGCAGCAGUCGGGAACCUUGCAGAACGGGGCCACGUCUGAUGUAGAGACGUUGCGUGCGGGAUGCUCGGUUAUUGGUUGUAAACAGAUUUCGAAUGUGCUGAAGCCUUCGUGACGGUACCGGGUAAAGAAGCAACGGCUAACUACGUG
rnacentral:rRNA from 1 species